rnacentral:rRNA from 1 species
GAUGAACGCUGGCGGCGUGCCUAAUACAUGCAAGUCGAGCGAACAGAUGAGGAGCUUGCUCCUCUGACGUUAGCGGCGGACGGGUGAGUAACACGUGGAUAACCUACCUAUAAGACUGGGAUAACUUCGGGAAACCGGAGCUAAUACCGGAUAAUAUAUUGAACCGCAUGGUUCAAUAGUGAAAGACGGUUUUGCUGUCACUUAUAGAUGGAUCCGCGCCGCAUUAGCUAGUUGGUAAGGUAACGGCUUACCAAGGCAACGAUGCGUAGCCGACCUGAGAGGGUGAUCGGCCAAACUGGAACUGAGACACGGUCCAGACUCCUACGGGAGGCAGCAGUAGGGAAUCUUCCGCAAUGGGCGAAAGCCUGACGGAGCAACGCCGCGUGAGUGAUGAAGGUCUUCGGAUCGUAAAACUCUGUUAUUAGGGAAGAAAAAAUGUGUAAGUAACUAUGCACGUCUUGACGGUACCUAAUCAGAAAGCCACGGCUAACUACGUG